rnacentral:rRNA from 1 species
UAGGGAAUCUUCCGCAAUGGGCGAAAGCCUGACGGAGCAACGCCGCGUGAGUGAUGAAGGUCUUCGGAUCGUAAAACUCUGUUAUUAGGGAAGAACAAAUGUGUAAGUAACUAUGCACGUCUUGACGGUACCUAAUCAGAAAGCCACGGCUAACUACGUGCCAGCAGCCGCGGUAAUACGUAGGUGGCAAGCGUUAUCCGGAAUUAUUGGGCGUAAAGCGCGCGUAGGCGGUUUUUUAAGUCUGUUGUGAAAGCCCACGGCUCAACCGUGGAGGGUCAUUGGAAACUGGAAAACUUGAGUGCAGAAGAGGAAAGUGGAAUUCCAUGUGUAGCGGUGAAAUGCGCAGAGAUAUGGAGGAACACCAGUGGCGAAGGCGACUUUCUGGUCUGUAACUGACGCUGAUGUGCGAAAGCGUGGGGAUCAAACAGG